UACGUAGGGGGCAAGCGUUAUCCGGAUUUACUGGGUGUAAAGGGGGCGCAGACGGCAGCGCAAGCCAGGAGUGAAAGCCCGGGGCCCAACCCCGGGACUGCUCUUGGAACUGCGCGGCUGGGGUGCAGGAGGGGCAGGCGGAAUUCCUGGUGUAGCGGUGAAAUGCGUAGAUAUCAGGAGGAACACCGGUGGCGAAGGCGGCCUGCUGGACUGCGACUGACGUUGAGGCCCGAAAGCGUGGGGAGCAAACAGG
rnacentral:rRNA from 1 species